rnacentral:lncRNA from 1 species
GCCUGCCUGUGCCCAGCUUCGCCGCAGGCGAAACAUCGCAAGGUACCUGUGCGGGCUGGUCGUGACGCAUCAACGGGAACAAUGGCUGCCGAGGGUGUGGCCGCGAGUGGUGCCGAUGUUGUAGCUGUUGGAGUUGUGACCUGUGAUGUGCGUUGUUGUCGAGUGGAAUUCCACGGAGUGGAGGUCGCUUUGUUUUGUGCUUCGACGGUUAAAGCCUGUUGAUGAGCUUCUGAGAGCGUGAGAGGAUUAAACAGGUUCAACGUAUGCUGAAUUUGUUGUCGAAGACCACCGAUGAAACGGGCGACUAGUUGCCUAUCUGAAUCAUGAAGAUCAAUUCUGUUUAAUAACAAGAAAAAUUCAGUGGCAUAUUCUUCUACCGUACGGCUUCCUUGACGGAGAUGUUGUAGUCGUUGAAAUAUUAACUGGUCGUAGUUAUAAGGUAGGAAC